rnacentral:rRNA from 1 species
AUUGAACGCUGGCGGCAGGCCUAACACAUGCAAGUCGAGCGGAUGAAGGGAGCUUGCUCCUGGAUUCAGCGGCGGACGGGUGAGUAAUGCCUAGGAAUCUGCCUGGUAGUGGGGGAUAACGUCCGGAAACGGGCGCUAAUACCGCAUAAGUCCUGCGGGAGAAAGUGGGGGAUAUUCGGACCUCACGCUAUCAGAUGAGCCUAGGUCGGAUUAGCUAGGUGGUGGGGUAAAGGCCUACCAAGGCGACGAUCCGUAACUGGUCUGAGAGGAUGAUCAGUCACACUGGAACUGAGACACGGUCCAGACUCCUACGGGAGGCAGCAGUGGGGAAUAUUGGACGAUGGGGGAAAGCCUGAUCCAGCCAUGCCGCGUGUGUGAAGAAGGUCUUCGGAUUGUAAAGCACUUUAAGUUGGGAGGAAGGGCAGUAAGUUAAGACCUUGCUGUUUUGACGUUACCAACAGAAUAAGCACCGGCUAACUUCGUG